CAUCACGGCAAGUGUUCGACGAAAUGCUCGACGGGGGUGGGUAGGCUGGAGCGGGUAACCCGACCGUUAUCUGUUUACGGGUUGGAUUUUUUUUAUUUUAACUGUUAGUAUUUGUCCAGUAAAAUAGAGAAAACCUCAGCAGUUCACAGUAAAAUAGAGAAAACCGUGUCACUAGUAACGUGCUCGUGCUAAUGCUACGGUGUCAACCAGGGUUUCUCUUACCGCGCAAGCCGCCAAAACCGCGGUACCACGCUAACGUGGUAACGCGCUACCGCGGAUAUCGCAAGGUAAUCGCAAAAACCAUAAUGAAUUUGAAUCCAAAAAAUUGAAUUUAAACUCGCGCGGUUUACGUGGCUUACCGCGUGGUUUGUCACGGUAACUAUUUGUUGGAACAACACAUGAGAACGGCGGUUACCGUGGCUUACUGCGCGGUUUUUUAGCCGAAACCGUGGUUACCGUGAGGAAACCGCGGUUACCGCGAGGAGAACGUGGGUGUGAUGUCAAAUAAAAAAAACUUUAAAAAAUCUAAAAAAUACAUAAAAAAUAGGAAAGUAUUUUGUGACUAUAUUUAUGACAAUAGGACAUGUUAUAAGGAAAACAAGAAAAUUUUCACAUGACAUUUUCUAAAUUCUUAAUAUUGCAACAUACAAACAUACACCAGCAUAUCACACUUCACCAAACAAUUCACUUCAUACAAACAUACACCGUCAUAUCACCCUUCACUAAAUAAUUCAGACCAAUAACAAGUAACAACAACUUUAUUUUGAUUGUUGCGUCACAACUAUACCUACUACCCAUUAUUACGAAUAAAACUAUUAUGCACAUACUAAGAUGCACGUAUAAUUUUCCUCUAUACAUAUUUUCCAUAUAUCUAUCGUUGUAUAUUUGUAUUUCAACAUUAUGUACCCUAGUGUCUAGUGUAAAUUAAUAAUGACUCAACACAAAAUAUUCUUGACCAUCUUCCUGUGAAAUAUUACUUGCAAUAGGCUAUUUUUUAAUUUUGUUUCCCGAAAUACUCGUUUAUGAUUUUUAAUUACGCUGGGAAUACAUUUUUUCAUUAAUUUCUUUGACAAAACUACACCAUAUAUCAACAUAUACCACAUAUAUUUUUUUCAUUAAAUUUCCUCAUUUUUUUUAAAUUCUCCUCAAAUUUAAACUCGGUUACCACGGCUUACCAAAACCGUGCCUCUGUGAGGACUGUAGUUGGUGCACUAUUUAGUAGACUAGUAAUGUGCCCGUGCUAAUGCUACAGUGUCAACUAUAUCAAUUGUUAAAUUUAUUAUCAUAUAAAAUGCAUUCAGGCUUAAAAUCGAUCCAAGUUAUAUAUCAAAUAUUAUAUUGUAAAGUGCAAAUAGUAUGAUCUGCAUAUAUAUUUAGCCUGAUACCAUCGAAUAUAAUAUUUUUAUAUUGUGAACAAAAUGUAUCCAUAUGGAGAAACAUAAGCUAACACCAUGGCUAAAAUGCCCCUGCUCAAUUUAAAAGCAUGGCAGCCUGUCCACCUCCAGGCCGAAAGAACGCCCAGCAAAAAAACAAACAGCACCCAGGUGGACAGAGCAUCCAUUCAGCUUAUUUGCAAACAUUAAAAUGCAUCCAUUCAGCUGAUUUGCAAACAUUAAAAUUAAAUCCCAGGCAUUCAUCAUCAUAUAAUAAAUCAUAUUAUACAUGAAUUUGUGUCAUCAACGUUAAAUUCAGUAUAAUAAGCGGCAACUAAAGUCAUUUCUUACUCCAAAAAUUAAUUUCUAGGUUCUACCAUGCAACUAAACACUAAAUUCAGGGAAAUGCACUAACUAAAAUCGUAGCAGUAUACUAACUAAUCAAAAAAUUUAGAGCACUAAAAUUGAAAUAGGGCUUACCGGGGGAGGAGAGCUGGCAGCACGACGGCCGGGUACUGCCGCUGCCCGGGGGGGAAUUGCCGGCGCCACCCCGAGGCGGCAACCUGGCCACGGCGGCCGGGGAUGGCGCGGCUGCAGGGGGGNNNNNNNNNNNNNNNNNNNNNNNNNNNNNNNNNCGACCGUGCAGAUCGGCGGGGAACUGGGGGAAGGCGGCGUCGGGCGUGGCUGCCUGAUGGGAGGACGAGCCGACGCUACUGUCCAGCCAGUAGGCCCAGUAUGUCUAUUCAGAAUAGAAGAGGGUAUUUCUGGACAUUUAGUGUA
rnacentral:lncRNA from 1 species